UAUUGGUAAUCUUUUGUUUUUAUUAAGCUAAUGUUUCAAAAUAGAUUCAGCUUCAACAAGAUUUGAAGGCAACAAUGGGAUAAUGAGAGGAUGAGAAAUAUUAAGAAGGGACCAUUAAUUCGUGCUAUCUCUUCCUACAGGGAUUAGAAGACAGUUGGAGGUUUACCGAAUGGAGGUGGGCUUUUGGGCCACAAUAAUAGAGACGGAAUCAGGUUCAUGUUCUGCUUAAAGAAGAAUAGAAUUGUUUUUUAUGGACAACAAACGUUGCAAUUGCACUUCAUUGAGAAAGGGAAUUUGGUUUGGGUUUUGAUUUGCCCAAUUGAAAUUGGCAUAUUCUGGAAAGGUUUUCUCCUGUGCAGUGGUCUUCUCCUGUGCUUAGUGAACAGUUUGGUAACAAUGAUUGAGUUUGAUGUUAAUGGGGUUUUGAGUUAUUGUGAAUAGUCUUCAUCUUUUCUGUGUUUUCAAACUGCUUUAUAGUAAAUAUAGGUUGUUACUAUCAUUUCUGUGUAGAACCGUUUAACCUAAACAUUAGCAUGCGCCCAAAAUUUCAGCCUAGGCCUAUAAGUCUCGA